rnacentral:misc_RNA from 1 species
GUCUUUAUUAUUGUCUCAACUAACUCUGUCAAACAAACAAGCGUAAACAUCAAGGCCUUGCGACCUUGUGCUAAUGUUGAGAGGCUACGCAAGCGCAGCACUCGCAAAAGAUUUGUAAUGAUCCUUCCGCAGGUUCACCUACGGAAA